GCAGCGGCUGGGCUUUCGUCUUUGUAAGGAGACCAACCGAGCUGCAGAGUCCCUUUGCAGGAGUCCCGAUGAAGCGCUCCUAGAGAAACCACGCUGGUCCUGCCUAUUUUUCGCAGAGCAAGAUAGAUCAGUGUCAAGGGAAAGAUCUCGUAUUUUUUUUUCUAUACAUAUGAGAUCUUGACUCUCCCCUCCUCUUUUUUUUCUUCCUAAGAAUAUAUUUUUAUAGACUUUGCUAUCAAACAAAAACAAAAAAUAAUAAUUUCAACAUGGUGCUGGGGAAGGUGAAGAGUUUGACCAUCAGCUUCGACUGUCUGAAUGACAGCAACGUCCCCGUCUAUUCCAGCGGGGAUACAGUCUCAGGAAGGGUGAAUUUGGAAGUCACGGGGGAAAUCCGGGUGAAAUCCUUAAAGAUCCACGCCAGGGGACACGCCAAAGUCCGCUGGACCGAGUCGAGAAACGCGGGAUCCAACACUGCCUACACGCAAAACUACACGGAAGAAGUCGAGUAUUUCAACCACAAGGAUAUCUUGAUCGGGCACGAAAGAGAUGAUGAUAAUUCUGAAGAAGGCCUCCACAUCAUUCAUUCAGGACGGCAUGAAUAUGCAUUCAGCUUUGAGCUUCCACAGACACCACUUGCUACCUCAUUUGAAGGCAGACAUGGCAGUGUGCGCUAUUGGGUGAAAGCAGAAUUGCACAGGCCUUGGCUUCUACCAGUAAAAUUAAAGAAGGAAUUUACAGUCUUUGAACAUAUAGAUAUCAACACUCCUUCAUUACUGUCACCCCAAGCAGGCACAAAAGAAAAGACUCUGUGUUGCUGGUUUUGUACCUCAGGCCCAAUAUCCUUAAGUGCCAAAAUUGAAAGGAAGGGCUAUACCCCAGGUGAAUCAAUUCAGAUCUUCGCGGAGAUUGAGAACUGUUCUUCCCGGAUGGUGGUGCCAAAAGCCGCCAUUUAUCAAACACAGGCAUUCUAUGCCAAAGGGAAAAUGAAGGAAGUAAAACAGCUGGUUGCCAACUUGCGUGGAGAGUCCCUGUCAUCAGGAAAAACAGAAACCUGGAAUGGCAAACAGUUAAAGAUUCCACCCGUCUCCCCCUCCAUCCUUGAUUGUAGCAUAAUCCGUGUGGAAUAUUCACUAAUGGUAUAUGUGGAUAUUCCAGGUGCAAUGGACUUAUUUCUUAAUCUACCACUUGUCAUUGGUACUAUUCCUUUACAUCCAUUUGGCAGCAGAACAUCAAGUGUGAGCAGCCAAUGUAGCAUGAAUAUGAAUUGGCUUGGUCUGACACUGCCUGAAAGACCAGAAGAACAUUGUUCGAACUGCGUGUACUUUUGCCUUCAGCACCUCCUAGCUAUGCAGAAGUGGUCACUGAGGAGCAAAGACAGUCCAGCCUAGCGCCUGCAGCUGUAUGCGACGACUUUGAAAGAGCACUUCAAGGACCAUUGUUCGCCUACAUCCAGGAAUUCAGAUUUCUGCCUCCACCACUUUAUUCUGAGAUUGAUCCAAACCCAGAUCAGCCCUCAGAUGACACACCAUCUUGCCCCUCUCGCUGAAGGAAUGCUUCCUAAAAGUUGGUUUGGGUCAGGAUUGCAUUUUCACCAUGUUGAGGAUAAAGGCAGCCACGGAGACACACUUUACAAAGGAAGGUGUUGCCUAAAAGGAAAGGUGAAAUAAUGAAACAACCUGUGAUUAUGCUUUUGAAGCCUACAGCAAACAUCAUAGGACUGCUCUUCAUGCUUGAAGAUCUGAGUUUCCCUCCCUGUUGUAUACUGGCACAUACUAAGAGCAGCCUUAAUAGCCUACACUCGUGUGUCAAAACACUCACCAUGUUGCAAGGGGGAUAACUUCCUCUUUUGAUUUGAAAAUUUGCACAUGCUCAAUGCUUUCGUUGUGCGGUUCAGUGUCACUACAGCUUUUUCUCAUUUAUGUUGGACUGUUGUUAACCCCUUCUAACCUGUUUGUGGUCCGCACAACAAGGAGCGAAAGAAAGCUUUUAAAACUUUAUGACAAAUGCACUGAUUUUUUUAUUUAGAAAAAAACAAACAAUAUAGUCUGGACUUUCCUGCAUAUGCUCAGAAUUGUCCCAGUAAGACUGAUUCAUGCAUCACCUCUUCAGCUUGGAUCCUGUUGUGGAUUUAUUACAAACAUCAAAUGCCUUCAAGCCAAUCCUUGCUGUAUGUUUUGCAGCCUACUGUAGUAGACAAGCAACAGAUAUGUGAGGCGAAAAUGAACAGAAAGAGGAAACGAUAGGAGUCUUUGUCAAGAUUAUAUACAUUCUUGAUUCCUUUUUUAAGAAUUCGUUGCCUUUCUACUAUUACCACAAAGAAGAAUUUUGUUACAGACUGCCUAAAAUCACUUAAUCUCAGGUGAACUCAUCACUUGCCAAAAUGUUGAAAUGCUAUUUGUGUUUAUGUUGCACUGCUGAGUUUUUUCUUCUUCUUUCUCUUUCUGUUUUUGUUACUUCAUUGUUUUAUUUGGAUGGGGGACUUGGAAAAGGGACAUACACAAAUUAACACAUCCUAUUAUUUUUCCAAAACACAAAACACCACUAAGAAAAGUGGGAAAAUGAAAGUGUAUUUAGAAAAGCUGCAGGAGCUUAGCACCCAACAUUUUAUCUGCCAAGAGUUACUGGAGAAAAGUUGUGUGUGGUUCACGUAGGAGUUUCUUUGCAAUUAAGGUGGAUAGGGAAAAAUGAAUUUAUUUUUUUACAUAGGUAUCCUAUAACCACUUGCUUGCAUGGAAUAUUGUAGUGAUCUUUUAGUCAGGGAUAGAGGGAGCUUUCUCAAAAAUAGACAUUAUUAUGUCUUAAAGGAUAAGAAGAAAAUAGCUUUCAAAAAGAAAUUCCCGUGAGCACUACUAAGAUUGCAUUCCCUCCUAGACGGAAGAAUCACACAGAACAAAGUUAGUAGUCAUAAAUAAUUGGUAGAGAACUGCUUUGAUUUUGAAAUUCAGAGCAGGAUUCAGCCUGCAUUACAAGGACUCAGUGGAUGAUGGGUGUUGAGGCUCUUGGCUCAAAUGCUAGCUUUUCGGCAUUAAAUAUAUUAAUUGACGCACAACUGUCCUCUUCAGAAAGAAACUUUUUGAUUCCUACCAAAAUCAGCCAUUCUAAUGUUCCAAGUGACAACUUGGGUUACUUGACCCACUGUGAUAACCAGAUUAAUAUAAAAGUUGCUUUCUCUGGGCUGGGAACCCUCUAAUUCAAAUCUUCGUUGCUGUUGAAGCUUCCAAACAACAGGAUAGGCUUUUCCAUAAGUGGCCUUUAAGAAAACAUGGACAGAAAUUCAUGUUUGAACAAUAACAGGGUGAAUAAUAAUACAGUAUACAAAUGGGUCACGUUUUAAGUGAUUCACUUAAAAGAGUUCAGCCUUCAGCAAGCUAACUGCAUAUACUGGAUAAGAAGAUAACAGAAUAAUGGAACAUUUCUUUUUGCAUAUUUUCAAGCAAUUUUGUGAAUGUCCCUCUUCCGCCGAUUUUUUUUUUAAAAAAUGUUUUAGUGAGAAAGUGGCAUAACAGGACAUUUGGUGGUGUCUUUCUUUUAAAGGGGUUCUGUAUUUUUGUUUCAACCAACUAGGGAACAAUUGCUGUUAUGCAUAGCAUUACAUUUAUCACCACACAAUGGAUGUUUCCAUAUAAAGCAGGAUUGACCAAUAUUGUAGUAAUUGGCAUUGCAUCACAUACAUUUUGUGAUCAGACUAAAAGUUGUAGACACUAUGAAAAAAAUAAAAUAGCUCUUACAAGAAAAAGUUAAUCUUUUGUGGCAUUACUGUUAUCUCUGAUUUCUGAAAAUAUUGGUCAAUUCUGGACAUUGUAAAAUAUGAGGUUCAGAACUGUAGUCCAGUAUUUGAAAAUCUAAUUUUAAACAAAAAAGGGGGACAGGUAAAUAAAAUCCAAAAUGUUAGAAAAAAACAAAGUGCAAUAUUUAAUGUUUGCUUUAUAGAUUAUAUUCAUUGGCUGUUUGUAUUAUAUUUUCCUUUUUAUUUUCUUCUUUUUUUUAGUUUGGUGCUGAAUAUGUCCUUGUAGACUCUGUUUUUUUAAAAAAACAGUAUGUGGAAAACAAUUAAUUUUUUCCUAUGGCUCUUCCUUGUGGAUAAUAAACUCUUUUUUUACAAAACA